UUUCGAGCUAACUUCUCUCGACCCAUAGCGACGUCGACUGCGACAGAGCUGAAAGACGGCGACGAUGGGGUUCCCUCCGUUUCUGGUUCAGAGUUUUACGACGAUAUGUAACAUAUACACGUCUUCACCUGUUAAAUGAAGAGAUGCUUAUCAGCAUAUGGAGAGUUUGGCUUGGGGGUAGAUGGUAAGAAGGAAAUCAGUGAGAGCAUACGGUGAAGAUAUUGCAACGAAAAGUAUCAAAUGAAAAGUCUCCAAGUUCCGAAGGAGGAAAGUGGAUCUUGAAGAAGCAACUAAUGUUGAGCCUUCUCAGAUAAGAUAGUG